GACGAACGCUGGCGGCGUGCUUAACACAUGCAAGUCGAACGGAAAGGCCCUGCUUUUGUGGGGUGCUCGAGUGGCGAACGGGUGAGUAACACGUGAGUAACCUGCCCUUGACUUUGGUAUAACUUCAGGAAACUGGGGCUAAUACCGGAUAGGAGCUCCUGCUGCAUGGUGGGGGUUGGAAAGUUUCGGCGGUUGGGGAUGGACUCGCGGCUUAUCAGCUUGUUGGUGGGGUAGUGGCUUACCAAGGCUUUGACGGGUAGCCGGCCUGAGAGGGUGACCGGCCACAUUGGGACUGAGAUACGGCCCAGACUCCUACGGGAGGCAGCAGUGGGGAAUAUUGCACAAUGGGCGGAAGCCUGAUGCAGCAACGCAGCGUGCGGGAUGACGGACUUCGGGUUGUAAACCGCUUUCGCCUGUGACGAAGCGUGAGUGACGGUAAUGGGUAAAGAAGCACCGGCUAAAUAAGUG
rnacentral:rRNA from 1 species